rnacentral:ncRNA from 2 species
ACGCGCUGGCGGGACUCGGUGUAAUUCCGAACCGGCGGUGAUCCACGGCUGCGCGCCGUGGUAAGCCCGCGACCCGGACGGCCCUGCCGCCCGGUGGACCUGGUGAGAAUCCGGGGCCGACGGUUGGGGGCGGGUCGGCCCACCCCCAGACAGUCCGGAUGGGAGACAGCGCGC